rnacentral:rRNA from 1 species
GAUGAACGCUGGCGGCGUGCUUAACACAUGCAAGUCGAACGAAGCUGCUUAACUGAUCUUCUUCGGAAUUGAUGUUUUGUAGACUGAGUGGCGGACGGGUGAGUAACGCGUGGGUAACCUACCCUGUACAGGGGGAUAACAGUCAGAAAUGACUGCUAAUACCGCAUAAGACCACAGCACCGCAUGGUGCAGGGGUAAAAGCUCCGGUGGUACAGGAUGGACCCGCGUCUGAUUAGCUGGUUGGUGAGGUAACGGCUCACCAAGGCGACGAUCAGUAGCCGGCUUGAGAGAGUGAACGGCCACAUUGGGACUGAGACACGGCCCAAACUCCUACGGGAGGCAGCAGUGGGGAAUAUUGCACAAUGGGGGAAACCCUGAUGCAGCGACGCCGCGUGAGUGAAGAAGUAUCUCGGUAUGUAAAGCUCUAUCAGCAGGGAAGAAAA